rnacentral:rRNA from 1 species
CGCCUGUUUAUCAAAAACAUAGUUUAGUGUAUAUACAUACUAAAUUAAUUCUGCCCAGUGUAUAUAUUAUAAAUGGCCGCAGUACCCUGACUGUGCUAAGGUAGCAUAAUCAAUUGGCUUUUAAUUGAAGUCUGGAAUGAAAGAAUAAAUGAGGUUAUUCUCUCUUAAAAGUACUAUUAAAAAGUUAUUUAUUAGGUGAAAAUACCUAAAUUUAAUUAAAAGACGAGAAGACCCUAAGAGUUUUUAAUAAAAAUAAUGUAGAUUAUUCAUUUUUUUGUUGGGGCGACAAUUUAGCACUUUUUAAAACCUAAAUUCUUGUACAAGGCGAUUAUUUUAAGAAAGAAAAAACUACCUUAGGGAUAACAGCAUAAUUUUUUAAAAGUUUGUGACCUCGAUGUUGGACUAGGAACUUUAUGACUAGCAGUCAAAAGAGAUUUAUUCUGUUCGAAUAAUUUUAUCCUACGUGAUCUGAGUUCAGACCGG